rnacentral:lncRNA from 1 species
UUGAUCCCAGCUUCAUGCCAAGCACCGUAGAGGGCAUAGGGGAGGUCUUCUUCCCCAGCUCCGGCCACCCGACCUGCCUUGGGUACGGGCUAAGUUCGCCCAAGGUGGUCGAUUCCCUCUGCUCUAGCCUCACCCGUACUCCCCUAGUAAUCCAUCCUCUCUUAUCUGCGCGUCAAUUUGACCUCUGCAGGUCAUUGUGGUGAGAUCCAUCCUCCCUCGAAGCCGAUGAUCGCCGAGAGGAAGCCGCCGAUGCUGUGGUGCUCGUCGGUGAGCCAAUCCACCACUCAUCGACGCGGAAUAGUCCCCUCAACAAUCCUGUGCACCAUCACGAGCUCUGUGUUGCCGGUGAUAAUUUCAAACCUGUCAUGGGUGGCCCACCCGUUAGGUUCUUUUCUUUUCCGGACUUUUUUUUGAAGGCACCUUUCACCGGAGUGCGUUUUCUUCUCGGGCUGGCGUAGUUUCCUUAGAACAUUUUUUGUUUUCUCAAUCUAGCCCAUGGGUAACUUUCUGUUUACAAUAGAUAAGUCUCUAGUUGCAUUUCCUUUAUAAUUUUUAAACUAAAAAUAGUUUUUUGGUUGAUUUUUUUUGAAAGCUUUAUUUUUUUGUCUAGUUUUUUUGUGAUAUUUAUUUAAAAUAUUUUGGUACAACUUUUAUACAUGCACAGUAUUUACGUAGAUAUCGAUAUUUUUUGACGUAGAUACCAAGGGAGAAGACGCCGUCGUCCACUUCACCGAGUCCACUUCAACUUCGUUGAUCCAGGCAAGCAUGUUUGAACCUUUGAUAUGGUGUUUGUUUUCAUGUUUGCUCGAUAAAAAAUACUGCAUGUAGACAUGGUAGCAUGACGUGUUGAUAUGAUUUCAUGCAUAGAUUAUCUUAAAAUUGUGUAGUGACGGAAAUAUUUUGACGACCUAGUCACACGGGACGUGAUAGGUUGUGGUCUGCUCAUGUUGGAGCAUGCUAGUACCUUAUCAAAUCUAACAACUCCACUAUCGGCAUAAAUCGUGUCUUGUCAGUCUGUCACCUUACUUUUCCGUGCUGCCACAUGCUAUAUCGGAAGGGAUACCGUUUAGUAGGUUGCAAACCUAUUUCCAUGUAAACACCAAGUAGAGGGGCCGAAUGAAGGUUCCAUUGCCCUGGAAUAAUGCGAGUCAUCCAGUCAUGGGGCAUGGGUGUUUUCGACUGAGCCCUAGAGGGGGGAUCCCUUAGUUACGCACGAUAUAAGUUGAUCCCAUGCUAUUCGAGGUGUCGACCUCUCCAUCUUAUAGUUUUUCUUGAGCGUGGUUUCGGGUGAUUCCGGGCCUCGCAGGGUGAAAUGGGUGUGUACUAGUUACAUGUGUUUACUUUCAAAAUACUGUAGGUGGGACUAGUCUAUGUGACUAUCGAAACCCGUUGGCUGUGACUAAAGAGUACACCCUCUAUAUAGUCAAAAUUAUUUGAGUAGCCGUCUCCGCGGUCAAGGACCACUGGUUGACAGGUCAACUGUCGGUCUUCGUGUUGGUCUCUAGAAAGCAAAUAAUGUUUUAUGAGAACAUUUACCUAUGACAUUAUGAAUGUGAUGCUUGUGGCUAAUCUGUUAUAAUGAAUGAUGCAUUGAGUACUCCGUGCACUAUUAGGAAAAGGAUUGCUAAUGGCGCACCUAUUUUGGCUACUAAUGGCGCACUAUAGGUGCGCCACUAGCAUCAUGCCAUUAGAUUUUUUUACUAAUGGCGCACCACAAGUGCGCCAUUAGUAUCUGGUAUACUAAUGGUGCACCAGGCAGUGCGCCAUUAGUAUUGCUCACGGUGCGCCAUUAGUAUCUGGUAUACUAAUGGCACACCAAGUAGUGCGCCAUUAGUAUAGAUCCCGGUGCGCCAUUAGUAUAGAUCCUGGUGCGCCAUUAGUAUAGAUCCUGGUGCGCCAUUAGUAUAGCUUAUGGUGCGCCAUUAGUAUGCCUCCCAGGGCCAUAUUUACCCAUAUGCUCUGGCUUACUAAUGGCGCACUAGUUGACGAUGCGCCACUAGUGUGCUUUUGAAGUGCGCCACUAGUGUGCUGAGUGAUGCGCCACUAGUAUGAAUAUUAGGUUUUUUUUUUGAUAUUUGCACAGAUUACAAAAUAUAUUAUUGCACAGAAUAUAGAUAGCACAACAUAUAAACAACAAAUUUAUCGAAUACAAUAGAAGAUUAGUCUCCCAAUACAAUUCAUCAUAUUAGUCUCCGAAUUUAAAAUACCGAACAAAGUUAGAACAUUACAAGUCUCGAGACCGCGAGUAGCGAGUUUGUCUUCACAUUACAAGUCGAUAUCGACCAUCUAAACUACCAUCACAUAGAAGAGAGCUGCGGUCAUCACGAUGAGCAUAAUUGCAAUGAAACUGGCCUUCAUCCGGUUCCUCCAACGCUCCCUCCUCUCUCCCGCUAGAUAGCGCGCGUAUCUAACUUCCACCUCCGCCCUUGUGGUGUACCCUUUGUAACUGUUACCGCUGAAUCGAUGAACCUGUCUCCGACACUCCUCCUAGUCGUCGUAGACUCCGGGAACCUUACCCUUGUACACGACAUACGACGGCAUCUCUAUGCACUAGCCAAACAAAACGUUAGUAGCAAUUCACACAGACAUACAAGUUCAUUAAAGUUUAAUAUUACAACUAUAACAACACGAUUCAUGGUCCUACUAAUAAAUAGCAUCGAUUAUAUAUAAGUUGAACGACUGUCCAAACCAAAGAGACAUACAAGUUCAUUAAAGUUUAAUAUUGCAACAUGAAUUAGUAGCGAUUCACGGGAACGUGGAUGAAGCCGCCGUCUUUCGUGAUGGUCAUGAAAUUGCGGUCGUUGUCAGCCUGCAUUUGUAGCAUUGUAUCUAUCUCACUAUUGGACAGCGGAGAUCUGAGGUAGAACUGCCCCGAGGUACGAAGGACAUCUUGAUGGAUGAUUUCCGCAAACUCCGACUGGAUGCGAAAGAAUUCUUGUCUGAUGUCCGCAUCCUGGAUUGCCGACUAGCGUGCGGCCCAAUCUUUGAGAUUAUUUGGUAGCCGAAGGUGAUUACUGCCCCGUAUGAUCGCCCGCAUGUGAUGGAGGGCGUAGUAGGCAUCCUUCUGACUGCCAGGCGGCUGCUUGACGCAGGCGAACGUCGUAUUGUGGGUGAACACGUGCUUGCCGUGCCUGAGACUUGUCCUGCUGAAGGUGCCUCCAGAUAUGGCGUAGCCGGGAAGAGCUCCAUCAAGAACUUUCUUGAUAUUUGUGUAGUCUUUUUUUGACUGACAGUCCGAGUUGAAAUACGUGGCCGUGGAAUAUUUCAGGCUUAAGAGGAUGAGUGUGCAACGUGUGUCACUGCACAAAACACGGAAUGUUAGAAAAACAAGGACGAUCAAAAUCUAAGAAAUCAUAUGUUACGGGGCGAUGAGGGGAUAACUUACGAGGGAAAGUAAGGCACAAGGAAGUUAUCCUUUUCUGAGUUUGCCAGAAUGACGCCUUCGAGGUAUGAACUCGCGACUUGCCGGUCCCCAGCGCUGCCCAAGAUCUUGGCACGCAUAUAGAAGGGGUCGACUAUCACUAGGUCCGGGGUCUUAUCUCUAAUGAUCCGCAUCUCCAUACUCAGCGAAAAUAGCCGAACGAAGGUGUAGUGCAGCGGAUGAAGGUUAAACAUAGCGAAGAUGUCAGCAAACCGCAGGACGAUCAUACCCCCGAUGGCGCUAUCGACAAAGCCCUUGCCCUCUGGCACCUUGGCCACGAAAACCGGGUAUGCCACAUUAUUCUCGGAGAGACGUCGCUUCUCCAAACAAAGAAUACUGUCAUGCAGACUCCGCAUAGCACCGGUUGCAACAUUGAGCAGAUUAGUCGGUAGCAUCGGCCUACCCGCCACAUGCACCCUCCUCGAGAUAUCCUUAGGUGAAGGUGGCCCGUCCAGAGCACGGAUCGUACUCAGUGCCGGCUGGCUCGCACUCUUGUUAGUCUUUCUUUUCCGUCACUUCUUCUGCUGAUGUAAUGGGAUCGAGUUCAUCUGCUCAGAGACCACCUUCUUGAGUGUGUUGGGGCUGAUAAUAUUUCGCACCUCGGCUAUCUGAGGCUCGGUGAAGGCGGCAGCUGGAGGCGUCUCCUCAAAACUAAACUCCAGACAACGCCUGUUGCAAUUGGGUUUCUCCGCGGUACCAGCUAGAUCGUGGUCGUCUUUUGCAGGGUUGGGUUCUUGAGAAGGAGGCCCCAAGAAUUCCUCACCGUACCCAUGUUCGGCAAAGUACUUAUCGACCUUGGUAAAUGUACCAUCGUCGUCAUCGUCGUCUUCCGAAUCCUGUGUCAUAUGCAUGUCCGGAUCCUGUGCCAUAUGCAUGUCCGGUAGCAUUGCGGCGGUCUUGCCAUGGCUUGGCGCCGGCACGACUGGCGAUGUUGUCUGUGGGGUGGUGUCCCCCGCCCCCAAACGAAUCUGGAUCUUCGGCCAAAGCAAGGGCCAGCUUAAGCAGGUGCUGAGGGUCAUCACAUCAUCUUUGUCGGCCCCAGCGGGGUGGAACGGAGGUAACAAGUCGUCGCAGCCUGGUAGCACCCGAACCAGUUGAACCCUAUACGUGGUGGGUGGCAUCGGUUUACCGUGGAACAUGGGGUUGCCUGAUUGAACGAUUCUGCCCUUGGCAACAUCGAUCAACUCGCCGCCCAUGAAGUGCAGGAGAGUGCAUGGAACGUCGGCGCCGGCGCCCUGCGAAAACAUGUAGGGCGUCAGGGGAUGCCUAGUCAAAGGCAAGGAGAUGAAGUCAUCGACCGAGAGAGGCUUAGUUACCGUGAUGGCGUCGAGCUCGGCUAAUGUCGAGGCACCGCCAACGGCGGGCGUGCAAAUGACGGAGGGGCCGCUUGCUGCCGAGGUGCCGGUCGGCGCCGAAGACACCAACGGCGCCGGCGCCGGAGACACCAAUGGCGUCGUCUGUGCGUUGUGCGAGUUGCUGGCCGUGAAGCUGGGAAUCGGGGGCGGCCCCUGUUGGCCGCCCGCAAUCCACGCCUGCAACCCCUCAAUCAAGGUAGGCACAAUGGCGGUGAUCACCCCUCCCACUUGGUGUUGCACUAGCUCUUGGACCAUCUCCGGAAUCCGCGCCACUUUUUCCUUGAGUUCUUCAACCUCGGGCAAUUCGCUUUCCAAGUUGGUAUUUCUCUCCUUUCACCCACCAGCGUUACAGUAUGACGACCAUUUCGUGGACAAGCCUUUGCCGGCCACACGACCAGAUGACGACGGCUUACUGGACUUAUCCUUGUUUUUCAUUAUGUUAAACGCCCUAUUUAAAUUGGUGUCCCAAUGGGAGCUCUGAGACGACCCCGCGCUACUGCUUUCAGUGUCCUGCGGAAGGAAUGAACCAUUUAGAAAUUUGGCUUCAUUAAUUAGAAUGCAACCAUAUGGAGCUAAUUACGUGGGGUGUAUUCCUUACCAGAACACGCUCAAGCGCCCUGGUCUUCGCAUCCGUGGUGAGAUCCUUUGUUACUGGGUCCACCUUGUACCGGGCCCUGACAUAGUUCCUGUUCUGCUUGUCACCGUAUUUCUCGAAGCGGGGUGGUAGGCCUUGCUCGGCACGCUCCGCGUCCUCCUUGUCCCAUAUAGGUUCCGCCACUCUGUAACCGCCGGGACCGAGUUGGUGGACCCCUAAGUUCAACUCCUGCAUUUCUUUCCCCCAUUGACUUGAUUCCGCGGUUGCCUUGCUCUCGCACUUGAUCUUGAACUCCUUGUAGUCAUCUUCGCUGAUCGAAGGAUUUUUCGCCUUGAUCUUCUCAUAACUAUCACCUUUGUCAAUCAUUCUCUUCACUACGCUUCUCCAAGUAGACAGGGCCUUGCUCAUCUUCGUGAGGGCGGCACUGUUCACUUUAUUCCUUGAGAGGCGUGUGUUUGCGACGUCACCGGGGAACUUGUAUCGUUCGUGCAGCUUCGUGAAGAGGAGGUUGCGCAAAUUCCCUCGGUCCUUAUGCCUUAGGUUCUCGGUGUUGAUCGAGACAGUGCUCCGGAGAACACACCCGAGCUGAACCGCGUACCCCUUGACUAUUUCUUUGGGCGCCGUUGGAUACCCGUCGGAGUUCACUUCAGUAAAUACCUCCUUUACGGUGCUAAGCACGUUCGGGCGCCGGUCCUUCCGUUGCCUCUUCGAUUGGCUGCCAUCUAUGCGUGCGCUGCCAUCAUCAGUGGUGGCAUCCUCGGCGGCACCAUCAGUGGUGUCAUCCCCGACGCCACUAGGGGUUGUGUACUCGGGAUCGGUGUCUUUCGCGGCAUCCUCAUAGCGGUGAGGUUCUUCCUCCAUCUCCUGGGACAGCUCCCAGAAAGGCUUGGCUGAACCGCCGGCCUCAUCGUUGUGGGCCAUGUUUCGCUCUAAAUAGGAAAAACGUUUGGUCAAAUAGUUGGUUAUUGUCAAGGAACAAGAUCAUGGUCUCAUCAUUUAGGGUUUGUCGACAUCGAGGCAUCCUAAAAGCUAAGCUUUUAUCAUUUAGGGUUUGUCGACGCCGAGGCACCCUAAAAGCCUAAGCUUUCAUCAUUUAGGUUUUUAUCGACACCGAGGCACCCUAAAAGCCAAGGUUUUAUAAUUUAGGGUUUGUCGACACUGAGGCACCCUAAAUGCUAAGUUAAGUUUUCAUCAUUUAGGGUUUAUCAAUGCCGAGGCACCCUAGGUUGACUGAUAUAUAUGGGUAUCUUCUAAUAAUAUACCCUAUCAAGAAAAGGGAAGGAGAAUUCUAAGUUGGGCCUAAUCACUUGGCUCUAUUGCCACCUAUGGUUUAAUGCAGCAAGCAUAAAGGGGUAGUUGAUCCUACUUAAUUAAGUACUAAGAUACCCCGGCCCAUGCAUUAGUCGCAAGUACCCCAUAUGUCCUAUUUUUAGCAAAGUCAUGCUAAAAUUCACGGAAAAUUUCAGCAUGAUCUUUGCUGAAAAUAGGACAUAUGGAGUACCCGAAUUUGCCGGAACGGAAGUUAAUCGACAUUCCGGCAAACUCAAGGGCCUCUCGGGGUACGUGCAAAAUCAUCACGACACGAUGGUCGGGAACAAAACCCAGCAAACUAGCACCACAAUGCUAACAUCUGGAUGCACUACAACUUAGCAAAAGAGUAAAAUAGAGAUUGACACAACCAUAAGGCAGAUCAUGGAUCAAGAACAAUCAAAGGAUUCAGCAUGAGACCAUGGACUGAUCACUGAUGCAGCAAAAAACAAGAACCUACAACAGCAGGCCCAACACUAAGGGGACCAUAUCUGUUCAACAAUUCUUGAUGAACCAUCGGGGGACAGAAAUGGAAUUCGAAUGAAAUUCAUAGGAAACAUAUUGACCGAGAGUACCCAGUCGUCCUAAAAAAAGAGAUCAAUCGCUUUAAAAAAAAUUCUACCGGCAUACAAGUAUACAUCGCUUUGUAGACAAAAACUAAAAUUCAGAUGGACAGAAAAGAUUGUAGACAAAAACAUUCGACGACACAUUCAUGUUGAUUUUUUUCUUAAGGUAAUUUUGAGAAAGUUAUGGCGCAAAACAAAUAGAUAUCCUUACAGCUCCAUCCGCACAUGCCACUGCCUUGAGAAGAGCAGCAAACAUAUAAAUAUGAAACAACGAAUUCAGGGAAGCAGCUGUGAUUGGUCGACCAAGUGUGACGUUAUGCAAACUGGAUGAUUGGUGCCCAGGUGGAAACGUAGUUCUUUUCUUGAUCGCGUUUCGUUUCUUCUCCAAGCGUCUACGACGUGUGGCCUAUGUGUAUUCUACCACCUUUUCUUAGUAGAGCCCUAGCAAGAUUAUUAUGUGUUUCUAGUACCAUCGGUAUGACGUGCAAUGGGACAAGGACGACAGCAUGUGCAGAGUCCAGAACUAGCAAACGAAACUCAUCAUAUUAAUUUGUUUAAGUGAAGUAGGGAAUAUCCAGUACAUUCAGCCAUGUUGAGUUCAAAGCAAACCAGUUCACAAAAGUUAGACUAAGAAUUACUCCCUCCGUUCCAAAACGUUAGCCCUGGUUUUAAUUCAAAACAUUUGUCAUGGUUUUUAAUUCAUUUUAUGUAGUUAGCUAGGCCAUUUUAGCUGAAACUAUGCCAGUAUGUACGCCUGGUUUGACGCCGAAAGUUAACAACAGAAGCAAUUUUUUAUGGCUUCACACAUACAUCGACAAUUCAAAUAUUGGCAGCCAAGCAUGCCUAUACAUAUGCCAUUUUGCACUAAAGUUAAAAAUCAGUAUUUAGUUGAAUACGUCUUCUUGGGAAAUUUGUCUUAUUUGUUCCUAUAUAUUUUCUAUUUUUUCUACGGGUCUCCUCAGCAAGAAAAUACGGUGCCAUAGAACACCCGUCUGGAGCUAAUCACUACCAUAUCAUGGAUUGCAUAUUUGUCACCGCAAUCGUGUAUUUUUCACAUCACACGUUUUUUGGAAUCAUACAUGCAUGUUCAUCCCCUACUACACGCAUGCAUCUCAUAUCGAUUCUUUUGAAGUACUCACUCUGUAAACUAAUAUAAGAUGUUUUAGAUCAGGUGGUACUAUUGAAUUAUGCUUGCAAUGUUCAUUUCUCUCUCUUAUUUUGUUGGUUAAACUUUGGGUGACUAAGGUUUGGCAUGGUUAAUCUCAAGCUAAUUAAGCAGGUUCUUACUACUACUCCAGCUAAGAGCUAAAGGAGGAUGAGCCCUUCAGACAAGGGCCUCCACUACGUUAGCAAACCCUAAUACUGUAAUACACAUCUGCUUAGAAAAACCAGGUCACAUUUAAU